UACGUAGGGGCCUAGCGUUGUCCGGAAUUAUUGGGCGUAAAGGGCGCGUAGGCGGUUGGAUAAGUCUUGUGUGAAAUCUUCGGGCUCAACUCGAAGUCUGCACGAGAAACUAUCUGGCUUGAGUGUGGGAGAGGUGAGUGGAAUUCCUGGUGUAGCGGUGAAAUGCGUAGAUAUCAGGAGGAACACCUGUGGCGAAAGCGGCUCACUGGACCACAACUGACGCUGAGGCGCGAAAGCUAGGGGAGCAAACAGG
rnacentral:rRNA from 1 species